CCCAAAACAUUGUUCAUCGGCCGCGGUAUCUCCGGGAAGUACGUAAUCUCUUGUUCUUAUUGAGGACUAGUAUGAAUGGCCCCCGAGGACUACACUGUCUCCUCUUUCUAAUCAAUGAAACUGAUCUCCCCGUGAAGAAGCGGGGAUAAAUCUAUAAGACGAGAAGACCCUAUGGAGCUUUAAACAACAAGAAUAUUUGCUUCCUUCCUACCAUUUUCUGUAAAAUAAAACCAACUCAAGCAUUUUAUCUCUUAGUUUUAGGUUGGGGUGACCACGGAGAAAAAAUAAACCUCCUCGUUGAAAGAAGCCCCCAUCUUCUAAGCAAAAAGACACAACUUUAUGCAUCAACACAUUGACUCCCAUUGACCCAAUAAUUUGAUCAACGAACCAAGUUACCCUAGGGAUAACAGCGCAAUCUACUUCGAGAGUCAUAUCGACAACGGCUUACGACCUCGAUAUGGAUGGGCUCCAAGUGUGCAGCCCUAGUAUAAAUAU
rnacentral:rRNA from 1 species